CACGGGGGGAGCAAGCGUUGUUCGGAAUCACUGGGCGUAAAGGGCGUGUAGGCGGUUUGGUAAGUGGGAUGUGAAAUGCCUCGGCUCACCCGAGGACCGGCAUCCCAAACUGCCAAGCUUGAGUAUGGGAGAGGAUGUGGGAAUUCCUGGUGUAGCGGUGAAAUGCGUAGAUAUCAGGAGGAACACCGGUGGCGAAGGCGCACAUCUGGCCCAAUACUGACGCUGAGGCGCGAAAGCUAGGGGAGCGAAAGGG
rnacentral:rRNA from 1 species